rnacentral:rRNA from 1 species
AUUGAACGCUGGCGGCAGGCCUAACACAUGCAAGUCGAACGAGUGGCGGACGGGUGGGUAAUGUCUGGGAAACUGCCUGAUGGCGGGGGCUAACUAGUGGACACGGUAGAUAAUAGCGCAUAACCUCCUAUGUGCCCAUAUGGGUUUAGAUAGUUGGUGGGGUAACGGCUCACAGAGGCGAAGCUCCCUAGCGGGUCUGAGAGGAUGAUCAGCCACACUGGAACUGAGACACGGCCCAGACUCCUACGGGAGGCAGCAGUGGGGAAUAUUGCACAAUGGGCGCAAGCCUGAUGCAGCCAUGCCGCGUGUAUGAAGAAGGCCUUCGGGUCGUAAAGUACUUUCAUCCGGGAGGCGUUACCCGCAGAAGAAGCACCGGCUAACUCCGUGCCAGCAGCCGCGGUAAUUC